rnacentral:rRNA from 1 species
UACGUAGGGUGCGAGCGUUAAUCGGAAUUACUGGGCGUAAAGCGUGCGCAGGCGGUUAUGUAAGGCAGAUGUGAAAUCCCCGGGCUUAACCUGGGAACCGCAUUUGUGACUGCAUAGCUGGAGUACGGCAGAGGGGGAUGGAAUUCCGCGUGGAGCAGUGAAAUGCGUAGAUAUGCGGAGGAACACCGAUGGCGAAGGCAGUCCCCUGGGCCUGUACUGACGCUCAUGCACGAAAGCGUGGGGAGCAAACCGG